AUAUAAAUUGAUGGAAUGAUUUACAUCUCUAAUGGUAAAACUGACUAUUGUGUACCAAAACGAGUGAAAAUGUGACUUCUGAAAGAAAUUGACAAGUGGCUGACAGAUACCCAGGAAAGAGUCAGAAAAAGAACUUUUAUGGACAGUGGGAGGUUUGAGAACGCAAAUUGUUUUGCUUAUCCAAGGAAAGCUGAAAAGUGACAUGAAAUAGUAAGAGGUCAGAGGAGCCCAGGGAUCAAACACAAAGUGAUAUAACAUGAGCUAAUGGAUGGAAGCUGAACCAAGUCAGAUCCACUACAACAGCAAGACUGGAAAAGAACCAAGAGCACGUAAGUAACUUAAAGGAGUCCUGUCCUCCCUAGGACUGAGGCACAAGGAGUCACUUGCACAAUUUCUGGGUGGAGUAAGCCUCCCAGUCUCCAGGACUACUAACAUGACAUAUUCAAAAACACU